AGUUUUCAAAAGCUCUUACUCAUCAUUACCCCAAACUUUCCAAAUUAUCAGGAGGAUGGCUUCUGCACAAGGCUCUUGGUGGAUCUGGACAAAGAAAACUUACAGUCGUCCCCCCAGAAGCUGAGGGAUAUAAUACUCAGUAUUUAAGAUCUGUGAGUGGAGGGGGUAAAACACUUUGUACAUAGUUCCACUCCAGGAGGAACUAGACACAUUGCCUCUUCCUGUUGAUGCACAUGAAUUCCAGAAGAUGCCAAAGGCAACUUGCCAAGCCUGCGGGUUGUCUAUGCCUUUGCAAAUUUUGGCUGUUCAUGUUAAAUCAUGUUGCAUUGGCAGGUCAUCCACAGAGUACGACUCUCUCUACGAUGAUUGUUGUUCUUCCCCUGAUGUGUCUAUUGUUGGGGAGUUCUCCUCUGUGAACUCUGUGGAAACCACUGGUACAAGUACAUCCAGAAAGCCUUCCUGUGAUAUGUCUGAAUUAUCUGGAGUGAACUCUUCUGUGGCAGCCAAUAGUAACAGUACAUCUAUGUCUAAGGUAAUGGCAUUUAUGCAAUUCCUACAAUUGGUCUUACUUAAUAGAUAUUACACUCAUUCUAUUUUAAGUAGUACAUUUCUUGUUUUUCACUGGAGGUAAUAUUGAUAUCUUCUAUUCAGGGCUCAUGUCCAGUGUGCCUCAUGAUUUUCCCAUUGGAUUAUUUGGAAGUCCAUGCUAGCUUGUGUGGUGAAAGGUGACAAAUUAAAAAUGUUUGUUUAAUGUAUAAAUCUUUAAAAAAGA